AUUGAACGCUGGCGGCAGGCCUAACACAUGCAAGUCGAACGGUAACAGGAAGAAGCUUGCUUCUUUGCUGACGAGUGGCGGACGGGUGAGUAAUGUCUGGGAAACUGCCUGAUGGAGGGGGAUAACUACUGGAAACGGUAGCUAACACCGCAUAACGUCGCAAGACCAAAGAGGGGGACCUUCGGGCCUCUUGCCAUCGGAUGUGCCCAGAUGGGAUUAGCUAGUAGGUGGGGUAACGGCUCACCUAGGCGACGAUCCCUAGCUGGUCUGAGAGGAUGACCAGCCACACUGGAACUGAGACACGGUCCAGACUCCUACGGGAGGCAGCAGUGGGGAAUAUUGCACAAAGGGCGCAAGCCUGAUGCAGCCAUGCCGCGUGUAUGAAGAAGGCCUUCGGGUUGUAAAGUACUUUCAGCGGGGAGGAAGGGAGUAAAGUUAAUACCUUUACUCAUUGACGUUACCCGCAGAAGAAGCACCGGCUAACUCCGUG
rnacentral:rRNA from 1 species